rnacentral:rRNA from 1 species
GGUUAAGCGACUAAGCGUACACGGUGGAUGCCCUGGCAGUCAGAGGCGAUGAAGGACGUGCUAAUCUGCGAUAAGCGUCGGUAAGGUGAUAUGAACCGUUAUAACCGGCGAUUUCCGAAUGGGGAAACCCAGUGUGAUUCGUCACACUAUCAUUAACUGAAUCCAUAGGUUAAUGAGGCGAACCGGGGGAACUGAAACAUCUAAGUACCCCGAGGAAAAGAAAUCAACCGAGAUUCCCCCAGUAGCGGCGAGCGAACGGGGAGCAGCCCAGAGCCUGAAUCAGUGUGUGUGUUAGUGGAAGCGUCUGGAAAGGCGCGCGAUACAGGGUGACAGCCCCGUACACAAAAAUGCACAUGCUGUGAGCUCGAUGAGUAGGGCGGGACACGUGGUAUCCUGUCUGAAUAUGGGGGGACCAUCCUCCAAGGCUAAAUACUCCUGACUGACCGAUAGUGAACCAGUACCGUGAGGGAAAGGCGAAAAGAACCCCGGCGAGGGGAGUGAAAAAGAACCUGAAACCGUGUACGUACAAGCAGUGGGAGCACGCUUAGGCGUGUGACUGCGUACCUUUUGUAUAAUGGGUCAGCGACUUAUAUUCUGUAGCAAGGUUAACCGAAUAGGGGAGCCGAAGGGAAACCGAGUCUUAACUGGGCGUUAAGUUGCAGGGUAUAGACCCGAAACCCGGUGAUCUAGCCAUGGGCAGGUUGAAGGUUGGGUAACACUAACUGGAGGACCGAACCGACUAAUGUUGAAAAAUUAGCGGAUGACUUGUGGCUGGGGGUGAAAGGCCAAUCAAACCGGGAGAUAGCUGGUUCUCCCCGAAAGCUAUUUAGGUAGCGCCUCGUGAAUUCAUCUCCGGGGGUAGAGCACUGUUUCGGCAAGGGGGUCAUCCCGACUUACCAACCCGAUGCAAACUGCGAAUACCGGAGAAUGUUAUCACGGGAGACACACGGCGGGUGCUAACGUCCGUCGUGAAGAGGGAAACAACCCAGACCGCCAGCUAAGGUCCCAAAGUCAUGGUUAAGUGGGAAACGAUGUGGGAAGGCCCAGACAGCCAGGAUGUUGGCUUAGAAGCAGCCAUCAUUUAAAGAAAGCGUAAUAGCUCACUGGUCGAGUCGGCCUGCGCGGAAGAUGUAACGGGGCUAAACCAUGCACCGAAGCUGCGGCAGCGACGCUGAUGCGUUGUUGGGUAGGGGAGCGUUCUGUAAGCCUGUGAAGGUGUGCUGUGAGGCAUGCUGGAGGUAUCAGAAGUGCGAAUGCUGACAUAAGUAACGAUAAAGCGGGUGAAAAGCCCGCUCGCCGGAAGACCAAGGGUUCCUGUCCAACGUUAAUCGGGGCAGGGUGAGUCGACCCCUAAGGCGAGGCCGAAAGGCGUAGUCGAUGGGAAACAGGUUAAUAUUCCUGUACUUGGUGUUACUGCGAAGGGGGGACGGAGAAGGCUAUGUUGGCCGGGCGACGGUUGUCCCGGUUUAAGCGUGUAGGCUGGUUUUCCAGGCAAAUCCGGAAAAUCAAGGCUGAGGCGUGAUGACGAGGCACUACGGUGCUGAAGCAACAAAUGCCCUGCUUCCAGGAAAAGCCUCUAAGCAUCAGGUAACAUCAAAUCGUACCCCAAACCGACACAGGUGGUCAGGUAGAGAAUACCAAGGCGCUUGAGAGAACUCGGGUGAAGGAACUAGGCAAAAUGGUGCCGUAACUUCGGGAGAAGGCACGCUGAUAUGUAGGUGAAGUCCCUCGCGGAUGGAGCUGAAAUCAGUCGAAGAUACCAGCUGGCUGCAACUGUUUAUUAAAAACACAGCACUGUGCAAACACGAAAGUGGACGUAUACGGUGUGACGCCUGCCCGGUGCCGGAAGGUUAAUUGAUGGGGUCAGCGCAAGCGAAGCUCUUGAUCGAAGCCCCGGUAAACGGCGGCCGUAACUAUAACGGUCCUAAGGUAGCGAAAUUCCUUGUCGGGUAAGUUCCGACCUGCACGAAUGGCGUAAUGAUGGCCAGGCUGUCUCCACCCGAGACUCAGUGAAAUUGAACUCGCUGUGAAGAUGCAGUGUACCCGCGGCAAGACGGAAAGACCCCGUGAACCUUUACUAUAGCUUGACACUGAACAUUGAGCCUUGAUGUGUAGGAUAGGUGGGAGGCUUUGAAGUGUGGACGCCAGUCUGCAUGGAGCCGACCUUGAAAUACCACCCUUUAAUGUUUGAUGUUCUAACGUUGACCCGUAAUCCGGGUUGCGGACAGUGUCUGGUGGGUAGUUUGACUGGGGCGGUCUCCUCCUAAAGAGUAACGGAGGAGCACGAAGGUUGGCUAAUCCUGGUCGGACAUCAGGAGGUUAGUGCAAUGGCAUAAGCCAGCUUGACUGCGAGCGUGACGGCGCGAGCAGGUGCGAAAGCAGGUCAUAGUGAUCCGGUGGUUCUGAAUGGAAGGGCCAUCGCUCAACGGAUAAAAGGUACUCCGGGGAUAACAGGCUGAUACCGCCCAAGAGUUCAUAUCGACGGCGGUGUUUGGCACCUCGAUGUCGGCUCAUCACAUCCUGGGGCUGAAGUAGGUCCCAAGGGUAUGGCUGUUCGCCAUUUAAAGUGGUACGCGAGCUGGGUUUAGAACGUCGUGAGACAGUUCGGUCCCUAUCUGCCGUGGGCGCUGGAGAACUGAGGGGGGCUGCUCCUAGUACGAGAGGACCGGAGUGGACGCAUCACUGGUGUUCGGGUUGUCAUGCCAAUGGCACUGCCCGGUAGCUAAAUGCGGAAGAGAUAAGUGCUGAAAGCAUCUAAGCACGAAACUUGCCCCGAGAUGAGUUCUCCCUGACUCCUUGAGAGUCCUGAAGGAACGUUGAAGACGACGACGUUGAUAGGCCGGGUGUGUAAGCGCAGCGAUGCGUUGAGCUAACCGGUACUAAUGAACCGUGAGGCUUAACCUU